UGGGGAAUAUUGGACAAUGGGCGCAAGCCUGAUCCAGCAAUGCCGCGUGUGUGAAGAAGGCCUUCGGGUUGUAAAGCACUUUUGUCCGGAAAGAAAUCCUUGGCUCUAAUACAGUCGGGGGAUGACGGUACCGGAAGAAUAAGCACCGGCUAACUACGUGCCAGCAGCCGCGGUAAUACGUAGGGUGCAAGCGUUAAUCGGAAUUACUGGGCGUAAAGCGUGCGCAGGCGGUUUGCUAAGACCGAUGUGAAAUCCCCGGGCUCAACCUGGGAACUGCAUUGGUGACUGGCAGGCUAGAGUAUGGCAGAGGGGGGUAGAAUUCCACGUGUGAGCAGUGAAAUGCGUAGAGAUGUGGAGGAAUACCGAUGGCGAAGGCAGCCCC
rnacentral:rRNA from 1 species